rnacentral:rRNA from 1 species
UACGUAGGGUGCAAGCGUUGUCCGGAAGUAUUGGGCGUAAAGAGCUCGUAGGCGGUCUGUCGCGUCGGCUGUGAAAACCCGAGGCUCAACCUCGGGCCUGCAGUCGAUACGGGCAAACUGGAGUGUUGCAGGGGAGACUGGAAUUCCUGGUGUAGCGGUGAAAUGCGCAGAUAUCAGGAGGAACACCGGUGGCGAAGGCGGGUCUCUGGGCAACAACUGACGCUGAGGAGCGAAAGCGUGGGGAGCGAACAGG